CUUACGAUGCAAGAAAUUCGAGCAAAUUAAGGCAUGGAGGAUACAAGUGAUGCAACCAGCUGACAUCAUUCUACUGGCUAGGUAGCUACUGCAUGCAUGACCAACCACCGGCCCGUAAUAUAGCUUAUUAGUUAAGCUCCGGCGAAAAACUAUGGAACGGUAACAAUGUCACUUCAUUGCAGGAUUUACAAAUAUCACUUUCUUCGUUGCAGGAUUAAUUUAUGUAUCCAAAUUCUGGACGACCGCACCGCUGUGCUGAAUGUAUGCUUUCUUGUCCUCAAGCGAAAUCUUCUUCCUCCCUGCUAACUAAAAUCUUCAAACGCACCAUGAAGACCUAAAACUUUCGAGAUUCGCUAUUGCACAAUCGGCUGAGAAAUAAUAAUUUCUCAGUCGACUCUAUGAACCGUCGAUUCAUGUGCGAUCCGUGCACUCUCAAAUUUGUUCAGGCUUGUUUGGAAUUUCAGAUUGUUGUUGUGCGCUUGUGCUGUUUGUAGCAGGCCCGUCAGAAGUCCUAGCAGGUGCAGGUGUAUGGAUGGCAACUGAGAAAUAACUAUUUCUUAGUCGAUGAUAACAACUUUUUGAUUCAAUCAUUGAGAUUCGUGUAAGAUUAAUGUUGAUCCGCUAGAUAAGAAAGUCUUAUUGGAUGGCUACAAAUGUCGAUUGAGAAAUAACUAUUCUUAUGCGACCGAGAAAUAGACACUCCCUGUAAAAAUUGUAAGUGUAGUUCAUGUGUUUUUUUUCAAAACAAAGAUAGUUUCUUUUUUUAUCACUAAAUAGCAGUCAAGUGUAACUUUCUGUACUAAUGUUUUGCAAUUGCAACCUAGCUUCACUAAUUAUAAGUGUAAUUUUUGUCUUAUCUUUUUUCUUCUUAAUCCUAAUAAAAAUAGCGGUCAAAUGUAAUUUUGUGUGCUAGUAUUUUGCAACUACAACCUACCUUCAGUAAUUAUAAGUGAAUUUUUGUGUGCUUACUUUUCAAUAAUUAUAAGUAAUUAUAAUUAUACUUUAAUACGUUGCAACAGAAGGCCCCUUUGCUAGUAGAUGUUUAUUAUGUGAGUCAGUGGCAGAAUAGAUGUUUAUAUGUUUUGUCAAUUCUCAAAAAGGGAAGAUUUUCUCUCGCGGCAGUAUUCGAUGGCUCUUGCUACUCCUUGCCCACAUUUGGGCAGAAAUUGAGCUUCGGGGAUCCCCUUGAAUUCAAUCUUUUCUACAUAUGCAUCCAAACAACUGAAAUAGUUGUAUAGCUGCAAGAUCUGAAUGAGUAGGGGAAAAUCGCCAAACCCUAGAAUGCGUCAACCUAGCGAAAGUGCCAAAAUAAAAUAAAAAUAGCAGAACAGAGGUCAGAUCUAACCUUGGCUGCCUGCCACCUGAUCUCGCACUUCAUGAAUUCGCAGCCGUAGUCCGCGUGAGAGGUACUAGCCCGUACUUAUGCCAUGAGUGCGGCAGAGCAGAUGAGCUUCCACGAGACAUCAUGGUGGUCCAGUCUCAACAUAGCAGUCGCCCUUGUCGCCGUUGA
rnacentral:lncRNA from 1 species